UACGAAGGGGGCUAGCGUUGUUCGGAAUUACUGGGCGUAAAGCGCGCGUAGGCGGGUUGGUAAGUCCGCUGUGAAAGCCCGGAGCUCAACUCCGGAGGGUCGGUGGAUACUGCCAGUCUUGAAGGUGCUAGGGGGAGAUGGAAUUACCGGUGUAGCGGUGAAAUGCGUAGAUAUCGGUAGGAACACCAGUGGCGAAGGCGGUCUCCUGGGGCAUUCUUGACGCUGAGGCGCGAAAGCUGGGGGAGCGAACAGG
rnacentral:rRNA from 1 species